GCACCGAUAGCUCAGUCGGUAGAGCAGCUGACUCUUAAUCAGCGGGUCGCAGGUUCGAUCCCUGCUCGGUGCA
rnacentral:tRNA from 1 species